GCUCUCCGACCUGGGGGUCCCGCAGGCGCCCUGUCCACCCAGACUCCUCGGGUCACCACCCACCAGCUUCCUGCUCGGGGGACGGCCCCUGGCAGGCGGAGGUCCCGCCGCGCUCUGACCAGCCCACCACCCGUAUCCCCGGCUUCUGCCACGGGGCCUGGCUGUGUUCUGUGUUCUCUGCGCCCAUUAACCUGCUUGGUGCUGAGUGCACGGGGCUCCCGUGUGCCUGGUCCCUGAGGGAGGACGUGUGCGCAGCCCCUUGGUGGGCAUGGCCGCCCCUCGGCCACGGUGAGAGCACCGUCCCCCGCUGUCCCCGCGCGCUCAGCCUUGCGCUCAGCCCUUGCACGGCGUUUACUUACGCAGCUGCCAGGCUGUGUACCCUGGGUCCAGUGUGGAUGCAGGGCCCUCACAAAGUGGAAGCAGGAGCAGCUCAUGGUCGGCCCUGCAGCUAGGGUUCUGUGUGUCCCCAUGUAGCCCCGCGUGGCCCUGCGACUGGGGUUCUAUGUGGCCCCGGGUGGCCCCCGAGUGGCCCCGCGGCUGGGGUUCUGCGUGGCCCUGUGGCUGGGGUUCUGUGUGGCCCCGCGUGGCACUGACUGGCCCUGCGUCUGGGGUUCUGCGUGGCCCCGCGUGGCACUGAUUGGCCCUGCGGCUGGGGUUCUGCCUGGCCCCGCGUGGCCGGGCUCUUCGCAGCAGAUGCCACGGGGCCACUUCUCUGCCUCCACCCAAGCACCUGUCCUGGGGAGAUGCUGACUCUCGGGCAUGGCUGCUGCAGAGCAGACACUUCUUUAUUUGUUAAUUUUUCGAGUCAGCCAUGUUUUUACAUUUCCUUCAGACAAAACAGCCAUUUCUUGUUGCCAGAUCUCUGGGCCGGUCCUGUGCCAACGUGGUGACAGUGCCAUUGCAGGGUCCCUCGUCUCUCUCCUGCUUUUUCCCAUCUUCAAGCCAAAGCCUGUCCCCUGCCCAGCAGCCCCACCUCCCACUCGCUCAGCCCAACCCCAGCCUGGAGCUGGCGGGUCUGCAGGGGGCCGGGCUCCAGACCGAGCAGGUGUCUGAUGGCCUCACCGGGUUCCCGGGUGUUCACGCUCACAGGUGUCACUGCGGGACCCUCUGGCCGAGUCAAAUCAUAGUUUUCAGUCCUUAGUUUCCUGCAGCCUUCCCAGCAGGUGGCAUGCCCCAGGCUCCAGCCAUUCCACCAGCCCCUCGACGCAGACCUCAGUGCAGGAGGGCAGGGCCAGGCUGUUGCAGAGCAGGUCAGGGCUCCUGGCUGGGCCGGAGGACGGGAUGGCUCGGGAGACCUGCUGUGGUCUGGCUUCUUCCUCCGCAGCUGCCCACCUGCCACCCCAGGAGAGCUCGUGAGCGGACGUCACCUGUGCGUGGAGAGCCACCCCAGCCCAGGCACCUGGGGUACGUCCGCAGCGCGAGACCCUUCAGAGUGCCAGCUGCAUCCCCCAGGACCGUCUCAGGCAGAGGCCGCAGCCCCCACUCCCUGUUCCAGGUGACCUCUCGGGGCACGGGGUGCUCUGUUCUCCACAGCAAGGGCCUCACCGGGCCUCUGUGAACGGUGUGUGUGGAAGAGGGGCCGCUGUCAACAGCUUCUCCACGCGCCCAUGGCGGGGGUCCUGCACGGCCAUGAGCCCCAGAGGCCUGGCCCACCGAGUCCUUCAGCCACAGAGGGCAUGGGGCGGGGGGGUCUCGUCCUCUGUGCACACUGAUGUGCAGGGCGUGUGGUGGGGAGGGCAGUGGGUCAGGAGACCCAGAGGACCUCGCAUGCCCUCGGUGGUUAGCUCUGCCUGCAGGGUCUCCCCUGUGCUCUGAAUCCACUCGCCAGGUCGCUGUCUUGGCAAAGAUUUGUUUGCAAAGAUUUGAUUCCGUGGUUUGUGGCCAAAGAGAAGGCUAUUCCCACAGGCGCCCCACCCCUGCUUUCCAGAAGUUGUGUGAAAUGUGCAGCGUGUCGGCGUCAUCCUAGCGUGCCUCUGGCUCCGUGUGGGCACAUGCGCACAUGCAUGGAUGUGCACACGUGAGCACACAGACUCAUGCACACACUGCAGUUAGCCUGGGGACGCUGCCCCCUCAGGCUCCCCGCAGCCCGGGGCCCCGGCCACGCCCUGGAGCUGCGUGCGCCCUGUCCUGUGGGACGUCCCGUCCUCUGGCCACCGCACCCAGAUGCCUGGACAGCCCCUCCCAGGCCUCCUCGCUGGCCGCCAGGCCCCCUGGGGAUGAAGAGCUGUCCUGGUGCUGAGACCCCGGACGGAGGCGCCAUCUCCCCUCCUGUGGCCGCCGCGCUGCUCCUGCUCCGGCGCGGCCGGGUCAGCCCCUGCCGGCUUGGCUGCGCUAACCGUGUGCGCGCCUGGCACUAACCUCCAUUCACUCGAAGUGCCGCCAGCUCGUUUCAGCCGAGUCACGGCACCUCCCAGGCUCCCAGCCAGGGAGAGACUCCCUUUUUAGCCAGAAACCCUGACAGUUGGGUUUUCACUUCUGUAGGUCCAUCUUCGCUGAGAUGGACAGGCUGGCCCGUUUCCUCCGGCUGAGGCUGCCCCCGAGCGGCUGUCAGCACCUCCACUGGCUUCCUCUAAGCCGCUGCCGUGUGUCUGGGGCUGAUUUGGCUCCGGCUGGCCGGCUUGCCCUCGCAUCAAACCCAUAAUCCCUGUUUCCUCGCAGGUCUGGCACGAAAGGUCUUGAUCUAUCUUGACCGCAGUAAGCAGGGAGGUGAGUGCCUUGUGUCUUGCCUGUGAGCGCCCAGGGUGGGAGCUGGCGCCUGUCACUCGCCCGCCAAGCUGUUCCGCCUGCCGAGGUUAGGACUGGUUUUCUUACUUGCUCCCUCCGCGCAGUCUCGUUAGUACAGAAGCUGAGCACUCGGACCUCGUGGGGCCAGGGACCUCAUGGGACCGGCCAGGCGCCUGCGUGAGGCUCUGGGGAGGAACCUCAGUGAAAGCCUGGGGCAGGACCGGUCCUCGUCCCGAAGGCGCGGCUCCAGCCCUGCCAGCGCCGAGCCGCGUCUCUCCCAUCUUCCUUGGUGGCCUCACCCUUGGGCUCAUCCUGCCCUCAAGGACAGCCCAGUUCUCAUCCUGCUCCAGGCCACCCUCGUGACAGCCAGGAACAGAAAACAGCCCAGACCCACGCCUGCUGCAGCGGGGCCGCCUCCCCCAGCGGCUCAGUUCCCGCCGGGCGGGAGGCCCGGCUCCGCAGGCUCACCUGAAGGGCACGGCUCGGUCCCGUUGGCACAGAGAAGUCAUUCAGUCUGAGAUUUGUGUUCCCGCCACAUUUUUCAGAAAAGAAUCUUUUUCAGAACUUAAUGCCAAGUCUCUGGCAGCAUCUGUUUCCAUCUGAAAAUCCACGUGUAAGUUUGAUGGUUGCCCGUGGAUGCGUGCGGCAGAGCUGGGUUAGCAAACUGAGAAGACCCGCGCUGCGAGGUGCCCCUUUCUGUCUCGGCCUUGCUGUUGGGGUAAAUUGUAAAGAGAUGGGGUCUUACGAAUCCAGGCAGCAGAGUGAACGCCUGAGCUGUAACGUGCAGGGUCCGAGGUAGAGCGUGAGCCGCGUCUUGGUGAACUUCCUGUCCGGGUCGUGGGGAGUCGCUCUUUGCAGUGAUCACGUCCCCUGCAGGAAGGCGGACGUGGCCCCAGGGCCCCUGCUGCCGGCAGAAAUGGGGGGAGGUGCGGCGGAGGCUGAGAAUGAGAAGUUCCUACAGACGUGUGGACUCACACUUUAUAUUUCACAAAGGAUUCUUCAGGUAAAAAGCUCAACAUGCAGCAAAGGCCUUAGAAGAGAGGAAACCCAAGGGCCCCUGCCUCCCCACUCUGCUUACCUGGCGGCGGCGGCGGCGACAGCGGCGACCGGAGGGCAGCUCUCGGGAGGGCUCCUCACAGUCUUAGAGACACGACAGCGUCCCGUUCCCUGAAGCCCUAAAGAAGGGCCAGAGGACGCCCUUCUCAUGGGGCUGGGACCAGGGGAGUCAGGACAGGGCAGCGGCAGCCCCGGAGAGGGGUGAGCAGGUCGCCCGGCACUGGUGCAUGUGACCUGGACGUAAACCCCGGGCCUCUGGUCUGGGAGCAGCUGGGCAGCAGGCUGGGCGAGGCCGCGAAGAGGGCUGAUGUGGACGGCGGGGCAAGGGUCACAGGUGCCCACACCCUCCGCGCGCCGCCCUCCUCCUCCAGGGUCACAGGCACAUCCAGAGUCUAGUUAGCAGGACCCGGUGGACAGGAAGGCCUCUCAGUGCAGGAGGCAGAUGGAUGAGGCCCAGUGGCCGCUCUCUCGGGCCCAGGCCAGGACCAGCAGGUGUUCACAGGGCACCAGAAGGAGGCCUGGCCCCGUGGGGGGCUCUGCGUCUGUGUUCCUGGGGAGGGGACAGGAGUUGCCAUCCCACAGGUCUGAGGUUCUCACGUGUACCUGGUGGGCAGGCCCUGGUCCUCCUCCUUGGCGUUCCAGAACCAUAGCCCCCGAGGGCCUCUUUCAGGAUGACAGAUCCCUAGGGGGCAAUUGCAGAUGACCAGUCCUUAGGGAUCAGGUUCACCUGGCAGGUCCUCAGAGGUCAGUUCUGAAUGACCAGUCCUCAGAGGUCAAGUCCACGUUGGGGUCUCUGAGGUCUGUUCCAGAAGACGGGGUCCUCAGGUUCGUCUGGACUGGCCACUGAGCAUGGAGGCUGAUCGCAGACACCACAGGGACCCGAGCCUCUGAAACGGCGUGUCUCUCACGUCGCUGUCUGCUGGGCCCACGGCGCUGUCCAGCCUGACUCGUUCCAGCUUCCUGUCCAACCACCGCUGCUCCGUGCAUCUGCACUUUAGUGAAGAAAUUCCCUCUUGGGCUAGUUUCAGGACCAGAACACGUGACCAGGGGCUGUAGGCAGGGUGAGGUUGGCGGAGGGGAGGAAUCUCUGCCCCCAGGGGCUGCGCAGCCCCGCCCGGGCAGUCCAGUGGAGGUCACUAGGUGGAGUGUGACCUCACGCUCUCGGGUUGCAGCUCUGUAGGGAGGGGCCGCAGCCGUGCGGUGCCAGUCAGGCUCUGUCAGACGCACCAGGAGGACAGAGACGCUCCCGUGUCCUGCAGGCGCAGCGUAUGGACUCACACUUGAAGCUCCUGGAAAACAGGAAAGGCCCAAGAGGCCAUGGAGGGCAUGCCCCCCCCCCCCGGCUGUUGGCUCUCCAGGGACGGAGACGGCGGGAAACUCUGCAGGGCCGUGCCCCCCAGGAGCGAAACGAUGGGAGAGCUUCACUCCGAUUCAGGGCCACAGUGUCCCCGUCUCGUGAGUUGUCCUUACAUCACAGCCGUCAGUCUCAUCCCUUGUGCUCAACACGUCAAGGAAGAAAGCGUCACCUUCUUCAUCAUCUUUUACCAACUCGGGAUGAAUCAGGUCGUCUCUGCUCUGCUGUGUCUGGAAGUCAAGACACAGGUGUGGUCGGGAAAGGUCCCGUGAGGAGGCCUGGAGCUGUGUCCCACUCAGGCAGGAAGACCACCCCAGCGGCGGUCCACAGAUCGGGAUCUGUAGCCCUGCAGGGACCUGGUGCCGCCCCAAGCCCGGGGUCCUGGGCGGGCGCGUCGUCUGCGAUUCACUUACGUGAACACACAGCGGGCAUGUCAUGAGGGAGGCCGGAGGUGGAGAUUCAGGCUCUGCUUUUGGGCUGAUCGAUCGCCGUGUGACUGGGUCUCCUGGACAGGUGGGGGUCACAUGCCCCCCUGCACCUGCGGGUCCUGAUAUGAGGAUGGGGCCAAGGGCCUCGCCUAUAGCCUUGUCCCCAGCAGAUGCCAUUCUGGCACAUUGGGGUGUGGCCUCCUGCCCGGGGUUGGGGCAUUGCAGUGGGGAAACUGUUCUAAGAGGUGGAACAAAGGUUCACCCGUUUGUCUUCGGGAGCUGACAUUCUGGGGAACAGACACGGCAGCAGGGUGCACACGAGGUGAUGCAUCUGGGUGGGGAGCAGGGAGAUCCCCAGCCUCAUGGGGUCGAGGAGGUGGCUGUGUGACAUCAGGAGAGGGGCGUUCCAGGUGCCGGACCUGCUCCCUGGCAAAAGGACCCCCCCCAAGGCGGUGUUUGGAGGCCAGAGCAGAGCGGGAGCCAGCUGGGAGGCCAUGGGGGCCACUGGAAGGAGCGUUGAGGAGCUCAGGUCCAAGUGGGGGCCUGAGGUGACGCGUGCAUAUGAGAGUCCAGGGUUGGAGAAAGGCCGGAGCUUGGAGGGGAAUCCAGCGUGACGGCUUCACUCUCGACUCCCUUUCUGCUGAGUGUGCAGUGUGGCACCCGCUCUGGGGCGAGAUGGCCUUGCCUGGGGAGUGGGGCCUGUCCCCUUCCCAGGGCCCCGCCUCCCGUGCGCAGGGUGCAAGGAAACACCUUCAGUGUGGCGUGGUUUACAAAGCCGGGGGGUCGUGGAUGUGACAGGCUCACUCCCCAAGGGCAUGUGACCCAGAGGGUACACGAGUUACCCAGACCCUCGUCUGUCAAGUCGGAUAAACCUCGAAGUGUAACAUUACCGGGAAAAGGCAGGUCGCUGGAAAAUACACUUGCACUUGAGAUUGGCAACUUUUUUUGAAACAUGGAAGGCGUGUGUCUUGGUUCUGGACACGCGCCCCUGCAGGGGAGCGGCGCCCUCGGCCUGCAGACCGGGGACAGGACACACAGGUGUGAGGCUUUCAGUGUGUCUGUAAUUUUACUUCUUUUCAAAAAGAAAAAAAAAAAGCAAAACUGCAGAGAUACUAGCAACUGUUAGAUCAGGGCAUUAGGUACAAGGAUUUCUGGUGUGUUCUGUAUCUCUGAAAUACUUAAAAUUAAAUAUUAAUUAAACCUCAUUCCUGGGAGGUGUCAGCACUGCCCCCGGAGGGCCAGGCACCCCCGCUCCCUGUCCAGGCUGGCGUCGGGCGGGGGUCCCUUGGCUCACUCACAGCCGGCGUCCGCAGUCAGCCCCCUGCCACCGAGAGGGGCCACUGCGGGCCGUUUAUUCCCGGGGAACGCGGGGCUGGGGCUCUGACAUGGCCUGAGGACUAGCAUCACCUGGUCACUGACACCCGUUCUGAGUCCCCAGACCUGCCGGCCGUGGCCACUGGCUUCUUGGACAGGCGGUCCUAGCGCCAUGCUGUCCCCUUGGUAGACGCUGGGGUGCAGCCAGGACCUGGGGAAGGCCCCGGAUCGUGUGUAGGGCUGGGACCCACCCUCUGGGUCGGCCCCAGCUGGCUGAGUGGUUCCUGGGAACAGGCUCCCUUGGUGACACUACCCGUC